UGCAAACCCUAUAAGCAGGGAUGCGAACCCGGUGAAAUUUUUGCAAGGGUUCGGUUCGGGUUCAGUUUAAAGCAAUGACAUAUAAUAAUACUUAGACUGACAAUUCAUUCAUUAAAAUCCAUUUUUAAGCAUGUAUCAAUUGAAAUCAUCUGGAGACGCCAUUAACACCAUGUUGAAUACAUCGAUGAUCAUUUGUCUUCCAACUAAUUCUUAAUAUAAAAAGAAAAAAAUAUAGUUAAUUCGAAAAGGAGGAAGCAUAUUUUACUUUGCUGCCAAAAUUACUUAUAAAUGACCUCAAGUUUUAUAAUUACAUGCGUAUGAAAAAAAUACCUAGCAACUGGUAAUUCAUAUGUCACCUUGUCAUAUUCUCAUAAACUUGGGGUAUCAACUAUAAAACUAAUAAUAGGAGAAAAUACAAAAGCUAUAUGGGAUAUUAUUCAACCCAUCCAUAUGAAGGUCCCAACAUUGGAGAUGUUUGAGGAAGUUGCUAAGGGCUUUGAUGAAAGGUGGAACUUCCCAAACUGUAUAGGUGCCAUUGAUGGGAAACAUUAUAAAACAAAAAAGUCUCCAUAUUCUGGAACCCAAUUUUAUAAUUACAAGCAUGGAUUUUCAAUAAUCCUUCAAGCAUUGGUGGAUCAUAAUGGCAAAUUUAUGGUUAUAGAUGUUGGCACUUAUGGAAGCCAAAAUGAAAGAAAAUUUAAAUAUAAUAAGUUUUGAUCUUGUUGGUUCAAAUUAUCCUUUAUGGAACCAACAGAGUAUUAAAAAUAGUUCUGAUAAAAAUAAAAAUAUAAGAAACUUAUUUAGCAAUUAUUUUAAUAAUAGACAUUUGCCCUGGCAAACUAAUAUAUUAAAUUAAUAUUUAUUUUUUCAAUAUUUUGAUUUUAUAUGUAUUAAAUUUCUUUAUAUUUUUUUGGUAUAUAUUUUCUUUUUAUAAAAAUACAAGAACUUGUUCAUAAAAUAAUUAUUUUGUACCAAUUUCCCAUGUUUUUGUUUAAUAUAUUCUUAAAAAAAAUUUAUACAUGUAAAUAAAUA